UGGGGAAUUUUGGACAAUGGGGGCAACCCUGAUGGAGCGACGCCGCGUGGAGGAUAAGGUCUUCGGAUUGUAAACUCCUGUCAUGCGAGAACAAGGUUGUAGAGUUAAUAGCUUUGCAAAUUGAUGGUACCGCAAGAGGAAGAGACGGCUAACUCUGUGCCAGCAGCCGCGGUAAUACAGAGGUCUCAAGCGUUGUUCGGAAUCACUGGGCGUAAAGGGUGCGUAGGUGGCGUGGUAAGUCAGAUGUGAAAGCCCGGGGCUCAACCUCGGAAUUGCAUCCGAUACUGCCGUGCUAGAGUACUGAAGAGGUGACUAGAAUUCUCGGUGUAGCAGUGAAAUGCGUAGAUAUCGAGAGGAAUACCAACGGCGAAGGCAGGUCACUGGGCAGUUACUGACACUGAGGCACGAAGGCCAGGGGAGCAAACGGGAUUAGAUACCCCCGUAGUCCCUGAGCGGGCUGGCAAGGCGCAU
rnacentral:rRNA from 1 species